rnacentral:rRNA from 1 species
GAUGAACGCUGGCGGCGUGCCUAAUACAUGCAAGUCGAGCGAACAGACGAGGAGCUUGCUCCUCUGACGUUAGCGGCGGACGGGUGAGUAACACGUGGAUAACCUACCUAUAAGACUGGGAUAACUUCGGGAAACCGGAGCUAAUACCGGAUAAUAUAUUGAACCGCAUGGUUCAAUAGUGAAAGACGGUUUUGCUGUCACUUAUAGAUGGAUCCGCGCCGCAUUAGCUAGUUGGUAAGGUAGCGGCUUACCAAGGCGACGAUGCGUAGCCGACCUGGGAGGGUGAUCGGCCACACUGGAACUGAGACACGGUCCAGACUCCUACGGGAGGCAGCAGUAGGGAAUCUUCCGCAAUGGGCGAAAGCCUGACGGAGCAACGCCGCGUGAGUGAUGAAGGUCUUCGGAUCGUAAAACUCUGUUAUUAGGGAAGAACAAAUGUGUAAGUAACUAUGCACGUCUUGACGGUACCUAAUCAGAAAGCCACGGCUAACUACGUG